rnacentral:lncRNA from 1 species
GGAACCAUGGAAGCCCCAGCGCAGCUUCUCUUCCUCCUGCUACUCUGGCUCCCAAUACCACUGGAGAAAUAGUGAUGACGCAGUCUCCAGCCACCCUGUCUGUGUCUCCAGGGGAAAGAGCCACCCUCUCCUGCAGGGCCAGUCAGAGUGUUAGCAGCAACUUAGCCUGGUACCAGCAGAAACCUGGCCAGGCUCCCAGGCUCCUCAUCUAUGGUGCAUCCACCAGGGCCACUGGUAUCCCAGCCAGGUUCAGUGGCAGUGGGUCUGGGACAGAGUUCACUCUCACCAUCAGCAGCCUGCAGUCUGAAGAUUUUGCAGUUUAUUACUGUCAGCAGUAUAAUAACUGGCCUCCCACAGUGAUUCAACAUGAAACAAAAACCUCAAGAAG